rfam:Oreochromis niloticus linkage group LG4, whole genome shotgun sequence.
UCUUGGAGAACAUUCAACGCUGUCGGUGAGUUUGUGACUCAGAGAAAACCAUCGAGUGUUGAGUGUACCCUAAAA